rnacentral:rRNA from 1 species
UACGUAGGGUGCAAGCGUUGUCCGGAAUUAUUGGGCGUAAAGAGCUCGUAGGCGGUGUGUCGCGUCGGCCGUGAAAACCUGGGGCUCAACUCUGGGCGUGCGGUCGAUACGGGCAUCACUUGAGUUCGGCAGGGGAGACUGGAAUUCCUGGUGUAGCGGUGAAAUGCGCAGAUAUCAGGAGGAACACCGGUGGCGAAGGCGGGUCUCUGGGCAGUUGACUGACGUGAGGAGCGAAAGCAUGGGGAGCGAACAGG